rfam:Stegodyphus mimosarum contig84474, whole genome shotgun sequence.
AAAAAGGCCUUUAUCAAGGCCAACAUAUAAUGAAAAAAAAAAUAAAU